GACGAACGCUGGCGGCGUGCUUAACACAUGCAAGUCGAACGAAGUGGCGAACGGGUGAGUAACGCGUAAUCAACCUGCCCUUCAGAGGGGGACAACAGUUGGAAACGACUGCUAAUACCGCAUACUGAAGGAGGGGAUUGCGUCUGAUUAGCUAGUUGGAGGGGUAACGGCCCACCAAGGCGAUGAUCAGUAGGCGGGCUGGGAGGGUGGACCGGCACAAUGGGACUGAGACAAGGGCCAGACUCCUACGGGAGGCAGCAAUGGGGGAACUUCCGCAAUGGAGGAAAGUCUGACGGAGCAACGCCGCGGGAGUGAUGGCGGGCUUCGGGUUGUAAAGCUCUGUUAAUCGGGACGCGGUACCGGAAGAGAAAGCCACGGCUAACUACGUGCCAGCCGCCGCGGUAAUAC
rnacentral:rRNA from 1 species